UAAUUAUAUUUAUUACAAAAUGUUGAUUUGAACAUAAAGGAAGUUAUUCUUAAAAACAUUGAUAUUCUGAUUUGGUAAAAUGUGUGAGAGACUAGUAGAGGAAGCAACUGAGUUAGUGUUAAACCCUGUAAUCCUCAUCUCUUUGAUCCACCAGUUUACCCUGAUGGAGUCACAGGUCAUGAAAAGUUUAGUAAUGGCUGUAUGAAAGGAAAUAACUGUAUUGUGUUUUCUCUAGAUUCUGCAGGGCCUGGACUACCUUCACACUUGGUCAGUGUAAAAUCAUCCAAGCCUAAGAACAUCCUGCUGCGUCUGGAGGAGCAGUCCCACAAAGUACCUGCAGGGGAGAGCAGCACCUCCUCUGCACUGAAGAUUACAUUUUUUCAAGAGCUUAGGUUUUGGAUGCUCAAAUGGGUCAUCAGGCCAAACUUAGAAUCGUACUCAAGGACCAUGACAUACGGAAACUGGAUUUACCUCAUGGAAUCCCUGGGACAGUGGUUGAACUUGAGUCUAUUGUGAGAGAGACAUCUGGGCUUGAUGGGAACUUUAUUUUGCAUUAUAAGGAUGCUGAUUUUGGAGAGGAAUAUUUUUCUCUCACCUCAACAAAUGACAUCAAGGACAAGGACACAAUCAAAGUGGUACACAUUGUUGAACCUCCCACAGUCAAUCUGACGUUUACUGAUGUGGACAGCUCCUUCGAAAGUGCAUCAGACGUCUCCGUCCAUGCAGCUUCCUCCGUCCAUGCUUCAGAGACCUCCGUCCAUCCUUCUAACAGCAGUUGCUCAUCUGGAUCGCAGGAUACCUUGAUUCUUUCAUCACCUGAACACGUGACUCAGUGUUGGCCUAUUGAAUUUCCAGUACCUUGCUUUGCCUACGGCACAGAGCUUGUUCUUGCCUCUGGAAAUGAGGCUUUCAAGAAGGAUGGAGUUCAACUUAACUUUACCACAAUCCUUCCAGACAUCCUUGAGAAAUUGGCUGGAAGCAUCUUUCAAUAUGUUGCCUACCCGACAAGUGCGCAGUUUGCUAAUGUUACUGAGGCGCUGAUUCAGAAGCAUCCUUGCCUUAAAGAACCAGGAUCAUAUAAUGGAUGCUACGGAUGGCAACAAAGACUUAAAUAUAAAAUGGGCAACUAUAGAUCUAAACUUAGAGGGCUCGGGUGCCCUGAGAUUGAUGUGAACUCUCUCUAAAAAAAAAGAGCACAUGAGAAGGCAUCCGCAAAGAAUAUAAAAAAGCCAAGAAAGGCAGAGGUAAACUAUUUACCCCCUCGCCCACAAGGAGAAACAGAAGGAAGCUUGGAACAUCAAAGAGUGGAGCUCCUUAAUGAAGUUAAGAAGAGGAACAACUGUCAGACCAUCAGCGGAAAAAUGGCAAAGACAUUCUCCAGUCGCAGACAGGAAGUUGUCAAUCUUGCAUCACCAGUCAGUGACUUCAAAGAUCGAUGGCCUGCUCUUUUUGAUGCAGCACAGAUAAACAAAGAAUUCAGAAGGAUCACCACUGCUAACCUGGAAACAACGUUCAUGGCAAAACUGGACCAGUACUCCCCCAAAAUAAUGACCUUGGCCUCGUCAACAGGGGGGGCUGCAAAAAUGAAGAUCCAGCGGAUAAGGAACAUGCUGCUAGAGGAUGAUUCGGUGGAAAAGAGGAGAGAGGUCGCUAUCCGUUGUCUGGUGAUGUGUCUCUGAGAAAAGGAGGAGGAGCUCUUCAAAGAACACUUGGAUGGUGAAGUGCAGGAUACUGAUGAAGUGAUGAAGGUUGUCGUCACCAGGGGUGCCAUAAUGACUGAUCCAGCCAGUGCAAGGAUAGUGAUCGAGGGAACAGAAGUCCUGGAAAACCUGGAUGUGCCAAGAGCCUGUGCCUUGUUGAUGGGGCUGAUAUACGCGCUCAACCUCAGCUACCCAAAACAACUGAUGAAAA